rnacentral:rRNA from 1 species
ACUCCUACGGGAGGCAGCAGUGGGGAAUUUUGGACAAUGGGCGCAAGCCUGAUCCAGCCAUGCCGCGUGCGGGAAGAAGGCCUUCGGGUUGUAAACCGCUUUCAGCCGGAAAGAAAUCGCCAUUCCUAAUACGAGUGGUGGAUGACGGUACCGGAAGAAGAAGCACCGGCUAACUACGUGCCAGCAGCCGCGGUAAUACGUAGGGUGCGAGCGUUAAUCGGAAUUACUGGGCGUAAAGCGUGCGCAGGCGGUUUCUCAAGCCAGAUGUGAAAUCCCCGGGCUUAACCUGGGAACUGCAUUUGGAACUGGGAGACUAGAGUGUGUCAGAGGGGGGUGGAAUUCCACGUGUAGCAGUGAAAUGCGUAGAGAUGUGGAGGAACACCGAUGGCGAAGGCAGCCCCCUGGGAUAACACUGACGCUCAUGUACGAAAGCGUGGGUAGCAAACAGGAUUAGAUACCCUGGUAGUC